rnacentral:rRNA from 1 species
UACGGAGGGUGCAAGCGUUAAUCGGAAUUAUUGGGCGUAAAGCGCGCGCAGGCGGUGCGGUAAGUCUGUCGUGAAAUCUCCCGGCUCAACUGGGAGGGUGCGGUGGAGACUGCCGGACUGGAGGCACUCAGAGGCCGGUGGAAUUCCCGGUGUAGUGGUGAAAUGCGUAGAGAUCGGGAGGAACACCAGUGGCGAAGGCGGCCGGCUGGGGGUGACCUGACGCUGAGGCGCGAAAGCGUGGGGAGCGAACAGG